UACAGAGGGUGCGAGCGUUAAUCGGAAUUACUGGGCGUAAAGCGUGCGUAGACGGUUAUUUAAGUCGGAUGUGAAAGCCCUGGGCUUAACCUGGGAAUUGCAGUCGAUACUACUCAGCUAGAGUAUGGGAGAGGGUAGUGGAAUUCCCGGUGUAGCGGUGAAAUGCGUAGAUAUCGGGAGGAACAUCAGUGGCGAAGGCGGCUGCCUGGCCCAAUACUGACACUCAGGUGCGACAGCGUGGGGAGCAAACAGG
rnacentral:rRNA from 1 species